GGACCGUUAGCUCAGUUGGCAGAGCAGCUGACUCUUAAUCAGCGGGUCGGAGGUUCGAGUCCUCCACGGUCCA
rnacentral:tRNA from 1 species